UGGGGAAUUUUGGACAAUGGACGCAAGUCUGAUCCAGCCAUGCCGCGUGCGGGAAGAAGGCCUUCGGGUUGUAAACCGCUUUUGUCAGGGAAGAAACGAGUUUCUCUAAUACAGAGACUUAAUGACGGUACCUGAAGAAUAAGCACCGGCUAACUACGUGCCAGCAGCCGCGGUAAUACGUAGGGUGCGAGCGUUAAUCGGAAUUACUGGGCGUAAAGCGUGCGCAGGCGGUCUUGUAAGACGGUCGUGAAAGCCCCGGGCUCAACCUGGGAACUGCCUUUGUGACUGCAUAGCUAGAGUACGGUAGAGGGGGAUGGAAUUCCACGUGUAGCAGUGAAAUGCGUAGAUAUGCGGAGGAACACCGAUGGCGAAGGCAAUCCCCUGGACCUGUACUGACGCUCAUGCACGAAAGCGUGGGGAGCAAACA
rnacentral:rRNA from 1 species